GAUGAACGCUAGCGGGAGGCCUAAUACAUGCAAGUCGAGCGGUAGAGUGACUUCGGUUGCUUGAGAGCGGCGCACGGGUGAGUAACGCGUACAUGACCUACCUUUAAGACUGGGAUAGCCCUGGGAAACUGGGAUUAAUACCGGAUGUGAUAAUACGUAUAGCGAUGUAUUAUUAAAGUUGAGGCGCUUAGAGAUGGAUGUGCGUCUGAUUAGCUAGUUGGUAGGGUAACGGCCUACCAAGGCUACGAUCAGUAGGGGGCGUGAGAGCGUGGCCCCCCACACGGGUACUGAGACACGGACCCGACUCCUACGGGAGGCAGCAGUAAGGAAUAUUGGUCAAUGGACGGAAGUCUGAACCAGCCAUCCCGCGUGCAGGAUGACUGCCCUAUGGGUUGUAAACUGCUUUUAGCAGAGACGAAACGCCUUCAUUUAUGAGGGUCUGACGGUAUCUGCAGAAUAAGCACCGGCUAACUCCGUGCCAGCAGCCGCGGUAA
rnacentral:rRNA from 1 species